UUGGUGAAAUCUUCCUAGUAAGGGUUGGGGCUUGCGAUCAAAAGUCUUCAGACUCUUUAUUGAAUUAACAGUGAGAGUUGGAUCUUUUAUCUGCAGGCCCAUUCUGGAGGGAUUUAAGUUGGUGUGCGUCGAGCAUGAGAAGCUGACGACGGUGUUAGAUGGCCUUCGCCGGAGGAAACAUAAUCUCGAUCACAAUCUCGGCAGGAUCAAAGCUUGGAGGAAGGCAUGGAACAUAGCUCAAGGGAUAGCCAAGUUCGGAGUCACUGUGCUCUCUGUGCUGAUCCCGGUGGCAGGUGUGCGGCCAGCUGCCACCGCCGCUAACAACGGAGCCAGCGGAAUGAUCGGGCUUCUUCAGCCGUUGGUUGACUCCCAUCUAUCUGGUCAACAGAGGUCGUGCGAGGUUGAGAUAGACCUCACUGCAAAGAUCUUGAACGAAGCUUGCUUCAUAUUUCAUAGGGUCAACAGCGCCCGAGUUCUUGUGGAGGAGUUGCAGGAUGAGAUGGGGUUGUUGGCUAAGUGUGGUGAGUUCCUCGCUGUGGCUGGGGAGGAUGAAGAUGGGGUUGUGAGCAGAGAGAUGGACAAGAUCAAAUGUAAGGCCGGAGAAUUGGUGGAUAAGAUUGAGAAUUUGGAGAAGGAGGUGGAUUGCAGCCGCGUGGAUCUCCGCAGGGCUGCGUUGACUCUACUUCAGACCGUCACUGACCAGGUUGGAAAUUCUCAGCAAGUGUCCAUUGAGAUCCCCGCUUAGUAAAUGUGCCCAUUGAGAUCUUCGCUUAAUAAUUAAAGGUUGUUGCAGAUCCUUCAUUAAGUUUCAAACAACAAUCUCUCAUAGUUGAUGCAGCAUGGGCGCUUGACAAGGCAAAAAUGAUGCGCAUUGAUGAAAAAAGUGGCAAAAUUGAUCCUGGACAGAGAGAAGAGGAACAAGAAAAGCUUGAGACUUUGCUGAGAGUAUCAUGUCCUUUGGAAGUGAAGCGGGGAGCUACUGACAAAGGUUGUGAGCAGUUCAUGUCAAAUGAAAGUCAACUUUUGAAUAUCUUGUUAAAGCGUCAAUUUUUUAUUGAAUGUUUGUAAGCAAUGUCUGGAAGCAAUUUCUUUUUGAAUGUUUGUAAACAUUGUUUGAGAACAAGCCUUGGUUUCAUUUCAUAUGUUCUUGCUUGUGAAGAUGUGUGAACAAAUUUGUAAAUUUA